UUGGUGGGGUGAUGGCCUACCAAGGCGACGACGGGUAGCCGGCCUGAGAGGGUGUCCGGCCACACUGGGACUGAGAUACGGCCCAGACUCCUACGGGAGGCAGCAGUGGGGAAUAUUGCACAAUGGGCGCAAGCCUGAUGCAGCGACGCCGCGUGGGGGAUGACGGCCUUCGGGUUGUAAACCUCUUUCACCAUCGGCGAAGCCGGGGGCUUUUGUUUUCGGUGACGGUAGGUGGAGAAGAAGCACCGGCCAACUACGUGCCAGCAGCCGCGGUAAUACGUAGGGUGCGAGCGUUGUCCGGAAUUACUGGGCGUAAAGAGCUCGUAGGUGGUUUGUCGCGUUGUUCGUGAAAUUCCCUGGCUUAACUGGGGGCGUGCGGGCGAUACGGGCAGACUGGAGUACUGCAGGGGAGACUGGAAUUCCUGGUGUAGCGGUGGAAUGCGCAGAUAUCAGGAGGAACACCGGUGGCGAAGGCGGGUCUCUGGGCAGUAACUGACGCUGAGGAGCGAAAGCGUGGGGAGCGAACAGGAUUAGAUACCCUGGUAGUCCACGCCGUAAACGGUGGGUACUAGGUGUGGGUUUCCUUCCUUGGGAUCCGUGCCGUAGCUAACGCAUUAAGUACCCCGCCUGGGGAGUACGG
rnacentral:rRNA from 1 species